rnacentral:lncRNA from 1 species
GUGCUAAUCUAGUGGUAGGCUGAUAAUGAAUAAACAUGAUGCUCCCACAAUAAGUUAGUUUUAAUGCAAGCUUUUGGCAAAUCUUGAGUCAACCAGCUCUAAUUGAUAUUGGCCUUGCAUGAUCCUUGGUGUCUUUUAUGUUUUACUAGACGGGUAAGUCUAGCUGAGUACAUUCUCGUACUCAGGGUUCAUUCCCACCUGUUGC